CUACGGGGUGCACCAGUGAGGAAUAUUGCGCAAUGGGCGAAAGCCUGACGCAGCGAUGCCGCGUGAGUGAAGAAACCCUUAGGGGUGUAAAGCUCUUUUUUAUGGGACGAAUGCCCGUUUCGGCGGGAGCGACGGUACCAUGAGAAUAAGCACCGGCUAACUCCGUGCCAGCAGCCGCGGUAAUACGGAGGGUGCAAGCGUUGUCCGGAUUUACUGGGCGUAAAGGGCGUGUAGGCGGGAUGAUCAGUCGGAGGUGAAAUUUGCACAGCUCAACUGGCAAAGCGCCUUCGAUACUGUCAUCCUUGAGUGAAGGAGGGGGUAGUGGAAUUCCCGGUGUAGCGGUGGAAUGCGCAGAUAUCGGGAGGAACACCGGUGGCGAAGGCGGCUACCUGGCCUUACACUGACGCUGAUGCGCGAAAGCGUGGGGAGCAAACAGGAUUAGACCCCGGUAGUC
rnacentral:rRNA from 1 species